UGAAUACGAGACGCUAAGGCGUCGAAGUAGUGUAUGUCAUACUUCCAAGAAAAGCUUGCACUGUCAUAGAUAAAAAACGCCUGUACCAUAACCGACACAGGUGGGUAGGUAGAGUAUACUAAGGGGCGCGAGAUAACUCUCUCUAAGGAACUCGGCAAAAUAACUCCGUAACUUCGGGAGAAGGAGUGCCUUAUUCGUAAGGUUGCAAUAACAAGAUCCAAGCAACUGUUUAUCAAAAACACAGGUCUCCGCUAAGUCGUAAGACGAUGUAUGGGGGCUGACGCCUGCCCAGUGCCAGAAGGUUAAAGAAGUUGGUUAGCAAUUGCGAAGCUGAUAACUGAAGCCCUGGUGAACGGCGGCCGUAACAAUAACGGUCCCAAGGUAGCGAAAUUCCUUGUCGGGUAAGUUCCGACCCGCACGAAAGGCGUAAUGAUUUGGAUACUGUCUCGGAGAGGGGCUCGGUGAAAUAGACUUGUCUGUGAAGAUGCGGACUACCUGCACCAGGACAGAAAGACCCUAUGAAGCUUUACUGUAACUUGAAAUUGAAAUUGGACUUUAUUCGCGCAGUAUAGGUGGGAGGCGUUGAUUAUAAUCUUGUGGGAUUAUUGGAGCCAUCAGUGAGAUACCACUCUUGUAAUGUUAGAUUUCUAACUUUGAAUCAUUAUCUGGUCAAAGAACAGUUUCAGGCGGGCAGUUUGACUGGGGCGGUCGCCUCCUAAACGGUAACGGAGGCGUACAAAGGUUUCCUCUGAACGGUUAGAAAUCGUAUCUAGAGUGUAAAGGCAUAAGGAAGCUUGACUGUGAGACUUACAAGUCGAGCAGGGACGAAAGUCGGUCUUAGUGAUCUGACGGUACUGAGUGGAAAGGCCGUCACUCAACGGAUAAAAGUUACUCUAGGAUAACAGGCUGAUCUCCCCCAAGAGUUCACAUCGACGGGGAGGUUUGGCACCUCGAUGUCGGCUCAUCGCAUCCUGGGGCGGUAGUACGUCCCAAGGGUUGGGCUGUUCGUCCAUGAAAGCGGUACGCGAGCUGGGUUCAGAACGUCGUGAGACAGUUCGGUCCAUAUCCGGUGUAGGCGUUAGAAUAUUGAGAGGAGCCUUCUUUAGUACGAGAGGACCGAGAAGGACAUACCUCUGGUGUACCAGUUAUCGUGCCAACGGUAAACGCUGGGUAGCUAUGUAUGGAGUGGAUAACCGCUGAAAGCAUCUAAGUGGGAAGCCCACCUCAAGAUAAGUAUUCUCAUCA
rnacentral:rRNA from 1 species